GCCACGGUGGUCUAUCGGUUACAACGCUGGCCUUGUAAUCCUGGGGUCUCGGGUUCGAUUCCCGGCGGUGCCC
rnacentral:tRNA from 1 species